rnacentral:tRNA from 1 species
GGGUCGGUGCCCGAGUGGCUAAAGGGAACGGACUGUAAAUCCGUUGGCGAGAGCCUACGCUGGUUCGAAUCCAGCCCGGCCCA